CCCAGGAGCUGAUGAGAAGUCUCUUAUCUUGCCACGGUUUGUCAUCCCGGGUCGUUCUACAUCUGUAAUUUCCGUGUGUUAAAAUUUGUCUGGGGCAGGAUCUUGGAUAACGAUGCUACGUCAAGCUAUGAUUCUGGUGCCCCAUGCUGCCGUUCAACAGCAGCAGCAACGGGGGAUGGCAACCCUGAAAGCAAUUUCAAUUCGCCUUAAAUCUGUGAAGAACAUUCAAAAAAUUACACAGUCUAUGAAGAUGGUAUCGGCUGCAAAGUAUAAUCGUGCCGAGCGAGACCUUAAACAAGCGAGACCCCUCGGAGAAGGUACGAAAAUAUUCUAUGAGAGGGCAGAAAUUGCUGCUCCUGAAGGGGCACCAAAGAAACUCGUAAUUGCCGUAACGAGCGAUCGUGGACUUUGCGGAGCAGUCCACACUGGUGUCUCUCGAAACAUUAGAGACGUACUACUGGCGGAUUCGAAUGAACGAGAGAAUACCAAAAUUAUCUGCAUUGGUGAAAAGUCUAGGGCUAUUCUUUCGAGGCUUUUUGCCAAGAAUAUUCUUUUCGUUGCAUCCGAAGUGGGUCGUAAGCCCCCGACUUUUAUUGAUGCAUCCAAGGUUGCGAGUCAGGUCUUGGACAGCGGGUAUGAAUUUGGAUCUGGGCGAAUUGUAUACAACAAAUUCAAGUCGGUGGUAUCGUACGGUGUCGCGGAUUUGCCACUGUUCGAUAAAGGUUCUGUUGCAAGUGCUCCGAAACUAUCAGUUUAUGACUCCUUAGAUGAGGAUGUAAUUCAGAGUUACCUGGAGUUUUCUCUUGCAUCUUUACUUUUCUAUUCCAUGAAGGAGGGUGCAUGCAGCGAACAGUCCAGCAGAAUGACUGCCAUGGAUAACGCCAGUAAGAACGCUGGCGAAAUGAUCGACAAACUUACGUUAACUUUCAACCGUACGCGUCAAGCCGUGAUCACUAGAGAGCUCAUUGAAAUUAUUUCUGGAGCAGCUGCUCUCGACUAAACACCACUCGAAAUCACUAGAAUUUAAUAGCACAUGUUUUUUGUAUGUAAAAUACAUUGGAAACUUGAGCAUACUUGGCCAAAUCCAAGCUCCAACUGCGCAUACGAUCAACAUUUUCCUGUCCUAGACAAAAGGAAGUAAGAAGAUGAACUCGCGUACAUCGUUGUAAAUCACAGAUCGAAGCAUUUCAACGUUGGAAUAAAACUAUUCGUUCAGUACAGUACCAAUGAUCGAUCAUUAUAGCUUGACAUUUACCCAACCUGACCCAAUUCUGUUUACACACAUUUUUAUUAUAGUAAUUGAGUAACGAUUGGAAAAAGAAAGCGAACUUUCGUUUGCACUAAACUUUAAUAUGACUUAUGCCAUUGUAUGGAUUGUAUGAAAUACAGAACAUUAAGAGGAUCGAUAAACAACUGACAAUAA